UGGUUUUACUGAUUCCUCCCUCUUGAAGAACUGUAAUGCCAUUAAUUUGGUGUUGCAGGGAAUCAGGACUGUUACUUUGAAAAAAUUAGAGUGUUUAAAGCAGGCUUUAGCUUGAAUACAUUAGCAUGGAAUAAUGAAAUAGGACGUUUGAUCCUAUUUUGUUGGUUUCUAGGAUUGACGUAAUGAUUAAUAGGGAUAGUUGGGA
rnacentral:rRNA from 1 species